GCCAGUGUGGUGUAGUGGUUUGAGCAUCAGACUAUGACUCUGGAGAUCAUGGUUCAAUUCCCCGCUUGGCCA
rnacentral:tRNA from 1 species